rnacentral:rRNA from 1 species
GAUGAACGCUGGCGGCGUGCCUAAUACAUGCAAGUCGAGCGAACGGACGAGAAGCUUGCUUCUCUGAUGUUAGCGGGGACGGGUGAGUAACACGUGGAUAACCUACCUAUAAGACUGGGAUAACUUCGGGAAACCGGAGCUAAUACCGGAUAAUAUUUUGAACCGCAUGGUUCAAAAGUGAAAGACGGUCUUGCUGUCACUUAUAGAUGGAUCCGCGCUGCAUUAGCUAGUUGGUAAGGUAACGGCUUACCAAGGCAACGAUGCAUAGCCGACCUGAGAGGGUGAUCGGCCACACUGGAACUGAGACACGGUCCAGACUCCUACGGGAGGCAGCAGUAGGGAAUCUUCCGCAAUGGGCGAAAGCCUGACGGAGCAACGCCGCGUGAGUGAUGAAGGUCUUCGGAUCGUAAAACUCUGUUAUUAGGGAAGAACAUAUGUGUAAGUAACUGUGCACAUCUUGACGGUACCUAAUCAGAAAGCCACGGCUAACUACGUG